rnacentral:rRNA from 1 species
UACGUAGGGAGCAAGCGUUGUCCGGAAUCAUUGGGCGUAAAGCGCGCGUAGGUGGCCUCAUAAGUCCGCUGUGAAAGUCAAAGGCUCAACCUUUGAAAGCCGGUGGAUACUGUGAGGCUAGAGUACGGAGGAGGCGAGUGGAAUUCCUGGUGUAGCGGUGGAAUGCGCAGAUAUCGGGAGGAACACCGGUGGCGAAGGCGGCGAUCUGGGUAGAUACUGACGCUGAGGUGCGAAAGCGUGGGGAGCAAACAGG